UAGUUGUUUUAUGUGAUCUCUCUCUCCAAAAUUAAUAUAUUCGUGAGAGAAACCAUUUUCUUUCUUUUGCAUCUUCUAAAAAACCGAGUUCGCCCUAGCCGCUUCUCUCCCUCACAACCACCCAGGAGUCAUUUUCCAGCGACGUCGCUAGAUCUGUGUUUCCGUCUUGUUGUAGUCACCGCUGUCUACUAGGUAUGUUCAUGUCGUGUUAUGGGCUCGCCGGAGAUUCGCCUCUCAGAUCUUGUUCCUUCGCUUCUACUGUUUGUUUUGCUCCACACCGUGUCGGAGUCGUUGCCUCCUCUUCUUCUGUCAAGUUUUAGACCUUGCCGACGAAGACCCUUUGGCAAUCGAUAAAGACAUCUUUCACGAACUCUGCAAUGGUUGAGUACUGCCCGAGUAUGAACAAGCGAAAUUGUCUGAUAUGAGCAGAAAACAGAGAAUGCUGAAGUCUCCGAUAAGUUGCAUCAGUGUAAUGAGCAAUUGAAGGAGGAAAAAGGAAAAAGGUGAGAGUCUCUGCAAGAAAUAUCAACGACUCAGCACUUGCUUAAGUUAAAAUCUGAGGAAUGUAUCCAGCUUACUUCACAGUGUGCUAAGCUACAGGAGAUAACUAUGGCUCUUGCCAAGGAGCUCCCAACGCUUAAACUGUGCUAAGAAUCUUUGAUAUUUUUGCUCUUUUUUUUUUAAUGUUUUCAGAUUCUGAUAUAAUCAUCAUUCAAUCUUUGGGUUAACCUUUCUGAGACUAUAUUCUUGUUUUGCGUUCAGGGUUUCUGAUCUUAGCUUGGAGGAAGAUGAUGUCCUGAAGCUAGCCAUGUUGGGGAAACGCUAAGACAAAAGAUACUAUUGCCACACUAGUCAAGUCUUUAGUUAUCAGAAAUAGAUAGACAAUGAUAAUUUCAAUCCAAAGUCUUGUGGGAUGAGCUCACGUUUAAAGAGUGCUAUUUGGAGUUGGGAAAAAUCAAGAUUCUUAAUAUGCCUGGAUGAAUAAUAUGUAUCUUUAGAAAGUAGAAAAAAAUGUAAUAUGAUUAUUGUUGUAUUCUUCAUUAAAUACAAAUUAUGAGAAGGUGGAGAUUGAAGCUCCUUUGUUGUUCAGUUUGCCAUAUCAUUUAUGUAAAUUUAGAUUAUUAAUGCUUCUUUCACUUUGGAGAUGAACUCGUUCUGAUU